rnacentral:rRNA from 1 species
AUUCGCCUACGGGGCGCAGCAGUAGGGAAUCUUCCACAAUGGACGAAAGUCUGAUGGAGCAACGUCGCGUGAGUGAAGAAGGGUUUCGGCUCGUAAAGCUCUGUUUGUAGUGAAGAAAGAUAGAGGUAGUAACUGGCCUUUAUUUUACGGUAAUUACUUAGAAAGUCACGGCUAACUACGUGCCAGCAGCCGCGGUAAUACGUAGGUGGCAAGCGUUGUCCGGAUUUAUUGGG